rnacentral:rRNA from 1 species
GAUGAACGCUGGCGGCGUGCCUAAUACAUGCAAGUCGAGCGAACAGAUGAGGAGCUUGCUCCUCUGACGUUAGCGGCGGACGGGUGAGUAACACGUGGAUAACCUACCUAUAAGACUGGGAUAACUUCGGGAAACCGGAGCUAAUACCGGAUAAUAUAUUGAACCGCAUGGUUCAAUAGUGAAAGACGGUUUUGCUGUCACUUAUAGAUGGAUCCGCGCCGCAUUAGCUAGUUGGUAAGGUAACGGCUUACCAAGGCUACGAUGCGUAGCCGACCUGAGAGGGUGAUAGGCGACAUUGGAACGGAGACACGGUCAAGACGCCUAAGGGAGGCAGCAGUAGGGAAUCGUCCGCAAUGGGCGAAAGCCUGACGGAGCAACGCGGCGUGAGUGAUGAAGGUCUUCGGAUCGUAAAACUCUGUUAUGAGGGAAGAACAAAUGUGUAAGUAACUAUGCACGUCUUGACGGUACCUAAUCAGAAAGCCACGGCUAACUACGUG